AAACUCCUUACUUUUUUUUUCUCUCAGACAUCAUUGAGCUCUGAACCAGCUGAGCAAAAAUCUUAUAUUCCUAUGCGAGCCUCUGAUAACAUGCAUUGGUUUUCCUGUGAUCAAUCUGGCUUUGACAUAUGAUGUGCUAGAGUGCAUGUCCUUGGCUUUUAAGUUUCACUCAAGCAGUGGUGAAUACAGUACUUCUGUGUUGCCAGAUGAAGAAAACCCGAUAGAGAUGUUUGGGAAGCAACUGCGGCCCGUGAGGGGAGAUGAUAUCUUUGAGAAAAUGUUUUCUAGCAGCCUGCAUGCUCUUCAGAUCCUUUGCUGGAAACGAGUAUAAUCAUUGGCUUACUGAAUAUGAGAAGGAUGUAAAGAGAAAACACAUGCUUGUUGUGCAUACGUUCACCAUCUUGCCAGUUCUAUGGUUCACUCUGGGACUGAUUGGUUCGCUGCAUCUCGGCCAACCAAGCCCGCCGGAUGCAGGUAAGUCGUGAUUGGUUGCCUGGAGGGGGUAUGUGGCCUGGCUCCGCUGGUGCGAAAGAACGGAAACUAAACAAUAGGCAUCUGCACCUCGAACGCCUGGCCGGCGGGGGCCUGGCUCUCCGAUGCGAGCCAGGCUCGUUGGAGGAGGCAACCAAUCAUGGCCUCUAAUUUCAGCCAUGUCAAAAGGUCUUGGAGCAAAAUAUCACUUCUGAAUUUAGAUUUUAUCACUUCACUUCUGAAUUUGUAUUUCUCUUUAGGUUAAGUAAAGUACGGGCAGAAACGCAUUUGAUCUUAAAUGGCUGAUUUCAUGUGGUUGGUGGAGUGAGAUAUCUUCCUGAAUCUUUAAUUUGUCAAAUUCUUUAUUUGUGAACUCUACAUCGGUACAUCCAUAUCCAUACUAGG